UCUUGCGGUUUAUAGUUCAACCGUAAAAUUUAUUUUUUUAUUCAUAUCGAAAAACUCUUUCUAACAUCUGAUUUAAUGUAACGUACAAUAAAUUUUUAUUUCUCCAACGAAACACCCUUAGACGAGACAAUGCACGCACAAGAUCAAAUAAGUUUGGAGCAGCCCAAUAAAAUAAACAAAACUACACCCAUGCAUGGGCCCACCUUGCAAGUUGAAUUAAACAACCACUCAUCUCUGCUUCUCCCUCUCAUGGUCUCAUGGCCAUGGCGCCUCCAUUUGCAUCGUCGACAAGCUAGCACCACCACCACCUCGUCGGCGUCUUCCUCUUGCGUGUGAUUGGCUCCACGAGUAACCCUAAUUCGGAAGAGCAGUGGUGCUUGGCUCUCUAUGUAUCGGCGCUAGCUCCUC
rnacentral:lncRNA from 1 species